rnacentral:rRNA from 1 species
UACGGGGGGGGCAAGCGUUGUUCGGAAUUACUGGGCGUAAAGAGCUCGUAGGCGGUCUGUCGCGUCGGUCGUGAAAACUUGGGGCUUAACCCUGAGCUUGCGGUCGAUACGGGCACGACUGGAGUUCGGUAGGGGAGACUGGAAUUCCUGGUGUAGCGGUGAAAUGCGUAGAUAUCGGAAGGAACAUCAGUGGCGAAAGCGGCUUCCUGGACCAGCACCGACGUUCAGGCACGAAAGCGUGGGGAGCAAACAGG